rnacentral:rRNA from 1 species
CCUACGGGAGGCAGCAGUCGAGAAUCAUUCACAAUGGGGGAAACCCUGAUGGUGCGACGCCGCGUGGGGGAAUGAAGGUCUUCGGAUUGUAAACCCCUGUCAUGUGGGAGCAAAUUAAAAAGAUAGUACCACAAGAGGAAGAGACGGCUAACUCUGUGCCAGCAGCCGCGGUAAUACAGAGGUCUCAAGCGUUGUUCGGAAUCACUGGGCGUAAAGCGUGCGUAGGCUGUUUCGUAAGUCGUGUGUGAAAGGCGCGGGCUCAACCCGCGGACGGCACAUGAUACUGCGAGACUAGAGUAAUGGAGGGGGAACCGGAAUUCUCGGUGUAGCAGUGAAAUGCGUAGAUAUCGAGAGGAACACUCGUGGCGAAGGCGGGUUACUGGACAUUAACUGACGCUGAGGCACGAAGGCCAGGGGAGCGAAAGGGAUUAGAUACCCGAGUAGUC